UAAGUUUAUAUAAAUUGUCAAGAACAACAGUUAACCUAAUAAUAUUUUAGGGGCAUGUGAUCAAUCUGAAGUAGAUCUUCAUAAAAAGUAAUAAGGCGAAUACUAAAUCCAAAUAUUAGUAUUGAAGUGUCAAAAGGAGACGAUAAAUGAAAGCCUGUCUGAAUGCGAAUAAUUGAAAAAAGAUCAAAUAACUGUACCGAAGAAACCCACAUUUCCAUUUUGUAUCAUUAUUUGUGAUGGAAGUUGCUGUUAAUUUCAAAGGUGGCGGUUCGUUAGUGAAACUGCCUCCAGUUUUUUCCAGAGAUGGAGAGAGUGUAUUUGUAUGUUCCAAAAAUGCCAUACUCGAAUAUAACACAAGAACCGGCAAACUUUCUUUUGAAUACAAAGGAUUUAUUGAUGAUAUAGUAGGAUUUAAUUGUCAUUUUUAUGAAUCCCAUCAUUGCCUAACAGCUUGUUGUAGAAAUGGUACAGUAUUGUCAUGGAAAACUAUGACACACUUUAAAAUAUCUGAAAAGGUAAGUUAAUGCAAGCAAUUUUUGAUCUGAUAUAACAAGGGGGUAAAAAAUUGACU